CACGUGUGCAACCAACCCCGUACCGGGAGAUAACCCGCGGAAACGUGGACUAACAUCCCAUGACACUCGAGGGCCGCAUGGCUCUAGAUUUAAAAUUCCGGUGGUACGGGACGGGCACGCGCGACAUUAGGCAGUUGGCGGGGUAACGGCCCACCAAGCCGACGAUGUCUAGGGGUUCUGAGAGGAAGGUCCCCCACACUGGAACUGAGACACGGUCCAGACUCCUACGGGAGGCAGCAGUGAGGAAUAUUGGUCAAUGGGCGAGAGCCUGAACCAGCCAAGUCGCGUGAGGGAAGAAUGGUCUAUGGCCUGUAAACCUCUUUUGUCAGGGAAGAAUAAGGAUGACGAGUCAUUCGAUGCCAGUACUUGACGAAUAAGCAUCGGCUAACUCCGUGCCAGCAGCCGCGGUAAUACGGGGGAUGCGAGCGUUAUCCGGAUUUAUUGGGUUUAAAGGGCGCGUAGGCGGGACGUCAAGUCAGCGGUAAAAGACUGCAGCUAAACUGUAGCACGCCGUUGAAACUGGCGCCCUGGAGACGAGACGAGGGAGGCGGAACCAGUGAAGUAGCGGUGAAAUGCAUAGAUAUCACUUGGAACCCCGAUAGCGAAGGCAGCUUCCCAGGCUCGUUCUGACGCUGAUGCGCGAGAGCGUGGGUAGCGAACAGGAUUAGAUACCCUGGUAGUCCACGCCGUAAACGAUGCUCACUGGAUCUUGGCGAUACACGGCCAGGGUUCAAGCGAAAGUAUUAAGUGAGCCACCUGGGGAGUACGUCGGCAACGAUGAAACUCAAAGGAAUUGACGGGGGCCCGCACAAGCGGAGGAACAUGUGGUUUAAUUCGAUGAUACGCGAGGAACCUUACCCGGGUUUAAAUGUAGAUUGCAUGAGGUGGAAACACUUCUUCCCUUCGGGGCUAUUUACAAGGUGCUGCAUGGUUGUCGUCAGCUCGUGCCGUGAGGUGUCGGGUUAAGUCCCAUAACGAGCGCAACCCCUAUCGCCAGUUGCCAUCGGUUCAAGCCGGGCACUCUGUCGAGACUGCCACCGUAAGGUGCGAGGAAGGCGGGGAUGACGUCAAAUCAGCACGGCCCUUACACCCGGGGCGACACACGUGUUACAAUGGCCGGUACAGAGGGCAGCCACGGGGUGACCCGGAGCGAAUCUCUAAAGCCGGUCGUAGUUCGGACUGGAGUCUGCAACCCGACUCCACGAAGUUGGAUUCGCUAGUAAUCGCGCAUCAGC
rnacentral:rRNA from 1 species